ensembl:miRNA gga-mir-6555 gga-mir-6555
UUCUAGGAGAUCCCUGUCUUUUCUGAUCUGCAGAGCCCACAACUAGAGACAGUAUUCUAAAUGUGGCCUCAACAGAGCAGAGUUGAUGGGGAAGAUCACC